AUUUUCUUCGGAACUGAAGAUUUGGUGAUUGAGUGGCGAACGGGUGAGUAACGCGUGAGUAACCUGCCCUAGAGUGGGGGACAACAGUUGGAAACGACUGCUAAUACCGCAUAAGACCACAGCACCGCAUGGUGCAGGGGUAAAAACUCCGGUGGUACAGGAUGGACCCGCGUCUGAUUAGCUGGUUGGUGAGGUAACGGCCCACCAAGGCGACGAUCAGUAGCCGACUUGAGAGAGUGAUCGGCCACAUUGGGACUGAGACACGGCCCAAACUCC
rnacentral:rRNA from 1 species